rnacentral:rRNA from 1 species
GACGAACGCUGGCGGCGUGCUUAACACAUGCAAGUCGAGCGAUGAAGCACCUUCGGGUGUGGAUUAGCGGCGAACGGGUGAGGAACACGUGAGGAAUCUGCCUUUCACUUCGGGAUAACUCCGGGAAACCGGGGCUAAUACCGGAUAUUUUCAACUGGCGGCAUCGCCGGUUGAAGAAAGUUUUUCGGUGAAAGAUGACCUCGCGGCCUAUCAGCUUGUUGGUGAGGUAAUGGCUCACCAAGGCGGCGACGGGUAGCCGGCCUGAGAGGGCGACCGGCCACACUGGGACUGAGACACGGCCCAGACUCCUACGGGAGGCAGCAGUGGGGAAUAUUGGGCAAUGGAGGAAACUCUGACCCAGCGACGCCGCGUGAGGGAUGAAGGCCUUCGGGUUGUAAACCUCUUUCAGCGGGGAAUAAGCGAAAGUGAAGGUACCUGCAGAAGAAGCACCGGCCAACUAUGUGCCAGCCGCCGCCGUAA